rnacentral:rRNA from 1 species
UACGUAGGGGGCUAGCGUUAUCCGGAAUUACUGGGCGUAAAGGGUGCGUAGGUGGUUUCUUAAGUCAGAGGUGAAAGGCUACGGCUCAACCGUAGUAAGCCUUUGAAACUGGGAAACUUGAGUGCAGGAGAGGAGAGUGGAAUUCCUAGUGUAGCGGUGAAAUGCGUAGAUAUUAGGAGGAACACCAGUUGCGAAGGCGGCUCUCUGGUCUAUUAUUGACGCUGGGGCUCGAAAGCAUGGGGUAGCAAACAGGAUUAGAUACCCGGGUAGUCCCUGAGCGGGCU